rnacentral:piRNA from 1 species
UUCAGCAUUAUCAUUAGACAAGAUUUUCUUA